UACGUAGGGUGCAAGCGUUGUCCGGAAUUAUUGGGCGUAAAGAGCUCGUAGGCGGUCUGUCGCGUCGGCUGUGAAAACCCGGAGCUCAACUCCGGGCCUGCAGUCGAUACGGGCAAACUGGAGUACUGCAGGGAGACUGGAAUUCGUGGUGUAGCGGUGAAAUGACGGCAGAUAGUCUAGGAGGGAACACCGGUGGCGAAGG
rnacentral:rRNA from 1 species